GACGUAGGUCGCGAACGUUAUCCGGAAUUAUUGGGCGUAAAGGGUGCGUAGAUGGUUUAAUAAGUUAUCAGCGGUAAAUCGGGGCUCAACCUCGUGGAAGUCGGUAAUACUGUUAUACUUGAGUGCAGGAGAGGUUAACGGAACUCCAUGUGGAGCGGUAAAAAUGCGUAGAUAUAUGGAAGAACAUCAAUAACGGCGAAGGCAGUUAACUAUUCUGUUACUGACAUUGAGGCACGAAAGCGUGGGGAGCAAACAGG
rnacentral:rRNA from 1 species